UAAUGAACUUAAGGAGCAGGUGGGUAAUGAUCUUAUGCUGCAGUAUUGUACUUCUAGUAAGCAUUUUAUGAGUAUUAUAUGGAAAAUUUCAUUUAUUCUGUAUCUCAUUUGAUAGCAUGUUUACAAAAAGUUGUAAGAUGGUAUUACAUGAUGGAAAACAAGUUGUGAAAUUAAUUUUUGAAUAUAUAGGUGGACUUCUUAUACAGACAUAGCUUCAGUUGCACCACUUAUCAAUCAAGUAUUUUUGGUCUGGUGGUGAGUGAUGUCAAAAUGCCAAUCCAAGGGCUGUUGACAGAAAAAUUGAAGAUGGUGAA
rnacentral:misc_RNA from 1 species